GAGUUUGAUCCUGGCUCAGAUUGAACGCUGGCGGCAUGCCUUACACAUGCAAGUCGAACGGCAGCACGGGUGCUUGCACCUGGUGGCGAGUGGCGAACGGGUGAGUAAUACAUCGGAACAUGUCCUGUAGUGGGGGAUAGCCCGGCGAAAGCCGGAUCAAUACCGCAUACGAUCUACGGAUGAAAGCGGGGGACCUUCGGGCCUCGCGCUAUAGGGUUGGCCGAUGGCUGAUUAGCUAGUUGGUGGGGUAAAGGCCUACCAAGGCGACGAUCAGUAGCUGGUCUGAGAGGACGACCAGCCACACUGGGACUGAGACACGGCCCAGACUCCUACGGGAGGCAGCAGUGGGGAAUUUUGGACAAUGGGCGAAAGCCUGAUCCAGCAAUGCCGCGUGUGUGAAGAAGGCCUUCGGGUUGUAAAGCACUUUUGUCCGGAAAGAAAUCCUUGGCUCUAAUACAGUCGGGGGAUGACGGUACCGGAAGAAUAAGCACCGGCUAACUACGUGCCAGCAGCCGCGGUAAUACGUAGGGUGCGAGCGUUAAUCGGAAUUACUGGGCGUAAAGCGUGCGCAGGCGGUUUGCUAAGACCGAUGUGAAAUCCCCGGGCUCAACCCUGGAACUGCAUUGGUGACUGGCANGCUAGAGUAUGGCAGAAGGGGGUAGAAUUCCACGUGUAGCAGUGAAAUGCGUAGAGAUGUGGAGGAAUACCGAUGGCGAAAGCACCCCCCUGGGCCAAUAUUGCCGGUUCAUCCAGGAAAGCGGGGGAGGCAAACAGGAUUGAAUACCUUGUAGUCCCCGCCCUAAACGAUGUCAAUUAGUGGUUGGGGAUCCAUUUCCUAAGUAAGUAAGUUAACGCGUGAAGUUGCCCGCUUGGGGAGUACGUUCGCAAGAUUAAAAUUAAAGGAAUUGACGGGGANCCGCACAAGCGGUGGAUGAUGUGGAUUAUUUCGAUGCAACGCGAAAAACCUUACUACCCCUGNACAUGUUCGGAAUCCCGCUGAGAGGUGGGAGUGCUCGAAAGAGAACCGGCGCACAGGUGCUGCAUGGCUGUCGUCAGCUCGUGUCGUGAGAUGUUGGGUUAAGUCCCGCAACGAGCGCAACCCUUGUCCUUAGUUGCUACGCAAGAGCACUCUAAGGAGACUGCCGGUGACAAACCGGAGGAAGGUGGGGAUGACGUCAAGUCCUCAUGGCCCCUAUGGGUAGGGCUUCACACGUCAUACAAUGGUCGGAACAGAGGGUUGCCAACCCGCGAGGGGGAGCUAAUCCCAGAAAACCGAUCGUAGUCCGGAUUGCACUCUGCAACUCGAGUGCAUGAAGCUGGAAUCGCUAGUAAUCGCGGAUCAGCAUGCCGCGGUGAAUACGUUCCCGGGUCUUGUACACACCGCCCGUCACACCAUGGGAGUGGGUUUUACCAGAAGUGGCUAGUCUAACCGCAAGGAGGACGGUCACCACGGUAGGAUUCAUGACUGGGGUGAAGUCGUAACAAGGUA
rnacentral:rRNA from 1 species